rnacentral:lncRNA from 1 species
AUGGAUUCCAAAGUCGGCCUGGGCUGUGAAGUAUGGAUCCAGACAAACUUCAAACUUACAGAGAAAGUUCCUCCAUCUUCUUUAUCUUUUAUCUUUUCAAAAACAGCAUAAAUCUUUUUAUGUUUUAUUCUCUAUGUGUAUACACACAAUAUAUAUAUACAUAUAAUACACACAUAUAUAUGUAGUGUGUGUGUGUGUGUGUGUGUGUGUGUGUGAAGGUCAGAAGACAGCUUUCAGGAGCCCUUCCUUCCUCUCCUGCUCUCCUGCCACAUGAAUUCCUGGAAUCAAACUCCAGUCAUCAGGCUUGACUGUAAGCACCGUUACUCGCCGAGCCAUCUCACUUCUCGGUGGCCCGUUAUCUUUUUUCCCUUCUAUAUAAUAAUUUCACAAGCUCUAUGUUCUUAACUAAAUUUAUUUUUAUUGGCUAGUACCUCAACCACAAAGCCCGUAUAUAUUAGUAAGAGUUUGAUGUGUUGAUGCAAGCCAUCUUUGAUCACUGAGUGAAUGGUUGAACUCUGAACCCAAGAUAAGGAGAGGCAGAGGCAUGCGAGAAUCCAGCAUUUGGCUUUCUCGUGUUCUGUGAGCAGUGCUGGUUAGUGCUCAGAGUCAGCAGCAGGAUUCCUGCCCCUCAGGCCGAGGUCAGAUGUGCAGAAAUGGACCUAAGAGGUUAUUAGUACACAGGUGCUGCGUGGGGCCAAGAACUAAGGGGCGAGAACAGCUUCCUCACACUGUCCAUAUCGUGGCCUCUUUGGAGUGGACAGACACAGACUCCAGAUACCACACACAUCUCUCCUUUGCAGCCUGGGGAUUGCACAGCUGUGUAGUGUGAAGUAGAGGAAAGGGUGCCUAGAAUCCAGAGCCGGCCCCAACACUGGCUGGUGGAGUUAACCUGAGACCCGUCUGAGUGUGACUAUCUUCUAGAAGGAUUCUGUUAGGUGGUCUCUCAGAGCCCCGCCAUUGCCUCAUCUGACAUGAGGAGUGGGGUGAGAUUCCGUAGGAUCCUGAUCCAGUGUUCACGUGGAAAACUGAGAUGCUGAACUCGAGGGAACCAGGAAACUGGUCAUCCAUGGGUCAUUCUCCUUCAGGGAACAAGGGCACUUAAAAUUAUACGACAGUAAUCCAAACACCGCUUCCUCAUAUGUGCACACACGUGGGUGUGUCUGAUACAUCACCUGUUUAUUUUCUCUGAACUGCUUCAGAGUAAGUUUCAGGUAUCAUAUCUAUUUACUUAUUAAAUAUUUGAAUAUGAAUACCCUAAAAUUAACAGUAUUUCUUUUAAAUAACAAUAAAAUCAUCAAAAUCAGGAAACUUUUCAUUUCCUCAAUUUUAUAUUGUAACAAUGUCACAAACCAAAAAAAGCAAUUUAAAUCCGGAAUUAUGCUGCAUUCAGCUGUCAUGUGUCUUUUGUCUACUAUGCCGCUCCUGGCCUUAACACUUUGGAAAGUUACGAGAGCCAGGGAUGCUAUAAAGAGAUCCUCCAUUGUUUCCCUGAGUAGUUUGUGUUUCCCUUGGGUUCAGGGUAUCCGUUUGGGAGGUGAGGGGAGGCUUCUGAGAGUGAUAAGACCUAAGGCUGGAAAUGUAGAAAGUUCUGAGGAAGAAAAGACAGGGAGGGAAAAGCAGCCCAUUAGGCUUGCACUGGGCAGCAGAGAUACCUGAACAAGCCGGACAGAGGCUCCCUCGCCCUGGGCACAGCAUAUUUGAGUACAUGCUAAGCAAAUGGUAAAAUCAUCAAAAUCAGGAAGGUAUAAUACCCUAAUCCCAAGACUAGGGAAAAAAUAGAGGGCCCUUUAUAGCAACCCCUGCCUUGUAAUGUUCCGAAAUAUUAAGGCCAGGAGCGGCAAAGGAGAAAGUGGAAGGUCCCUUUCCCCAGCAGAUUUUACUCUUCUAGUUGUAUCGACUGUGUCUAAUAGAUCCUUGCUCCUGCACAGAGCCUCUGCGAGCCAGGCUGUCCCCACGGGCCCUUGCAUAUUAUCCCUCGGUGACUCAGAUAGUCAUCGUUCUCGUUUUAGAAAUGGGAAAAUUGAGGCCCAGGAACACAGCCUCCUUGUGCAGUGGCACCACUGACGCCAGGGUCUGCAGCCCCCGCUCUCUACCUCGCCGUGUGGUUUGAGACCCAUUCACAGGCUUCCUCCUAAGUCACCCUUCACUCUGCUCCAAACAAGACUUGAGUGGAGACGCUGCUCUAUUUUCCACUCGAGUCAGCGGUUGAUACUUGAUUAAUAUUUGGGAUUGCUGUCUCGGAGAACAUCAUUUUCACAGAUGCAGAGACCAAUUUUGCUGUUACCGAGGCAGAAAGAUCCAUUUCCUCCCAGUCAGCAAGCAGAUUUGGAGGGAGUUGUCACCACCAGAAUAUUCGCAGCAGGUCCUGAAAGGAAGCAGAGCCCCCCGCCCCCCUUGGCACUGUAAGCAUCGAUAGUUGGUGGGUCAGAAGUCCCCAGCACCCAAUAUGGGGGCCACUUGCCACAUUCUAUGAAUAGCCAUUGGCUUUUAAAUU